GCUGAAAUUUCAGGCAGAUUUCGUCCACUGUUGGAAUUCGUUAAAGUUCAUUCAAAUUUUCUAUAGGAGCUGAGCUUUGAAAAAGUUGGAAGUGAUCUUGACUUCAUCCUAUACUGUAUAGAAUCUUGUUUUGAUCAAUUCGGAGAAUGAAGUGCAACUCAGUACUGGCAGCUUAGAAGCCAACAGCAGCUUGGAGAUAACUGCAGCAACCUUGGAGCAGGGACAACAGCAACUAUUUUUUAAAAUUAGUUUUGAUUUGGACCCUUUUGCUGCAAUUGGAUCCUUCUAGGGUGUUCCUGAGGUAGAGAGGAACCUGCGAAUUAAGUUGCAACAACUGGUUUGAGAGCCUUCGUCUGUUGCUGCUGUUGAUUCUAACCGUGGUAAGGAAGUCGCAAGCUAGAUCCUUAUCUUCCUCGGUCCUUUUUGCUAGAGGAGCACCCCUACAGAGGUAGUUUUGGAUGUUACCAUGUACAUGCAGUCGUUAGUUGUACUUACUGGGAUGUGGUUGUACUUUUGGAGCUUGUAUGAAC